rnacentral:tRNA from 1 species
CACCGCGUAGUGUAGUGGUUAGCACGUUCGACACGCAAUCGAAAGGGUCCGGGUUCGAGUCCCGGAGAGCGGCGUGGUGA